ACCCGGAUCUGGAGGUGUCUUGGGAGCAGGAGGUGUACCAGGAUUGGUAGGAGUUCUGCCUGGAGGGCUUGGGACUGGUGCUGGAUAUGGAGGGUAUGGAGGAGCACAAAAACCACCUAAAUAUGGACAACCAGCUGGUGGGGUCGGAAGUGUGUUGGGUGGGUCGGUACCAGCAACUGGUGGAACUGGGGCCACAGGAACUGGAAUUGGAACUGGUGAUGAUA